rnacentral:rRNA from 1 species
AGGGUUUGAUCAUGGCUCAGAUUGAACGCUGGCGGCAGGCCUAACACAUGCAAGUCGAGCGGUAGAGAGAAGCUUGCUUCUCUUGAGAGCGGCGGACGGGUGAGUAAUGCCUAGGAAUCUGCCUGGUAGUGGGGGAUAACGUUCGGAAACGGACGCUAAUACCGCAUACGUCCUACGGGAGAAAGCAGGGGACCUUCGGGCCUUGCGCUAUCAGAUGAGCCUAGGUCGGAUUAGCUAGUUGGUGAGGUAAUGGCUCACCAAGGCGACGAUCCGUAACUGGUCUGAGAGGAUGAUCAGUCACACUGGAACUGAGACACGGUCCAGACUCCUACGGGAGGCAGCAGUGGGGAAUAUUGGACAAUGGGCGAAAGCCUGAUCCAGCCAUGCCGCGUGUGUGAAGAAGGUCUUCGGAUUGUAAAGCACUUUAAGUUGGGAGGAAGGGCAGUAAAUUAAUACUUUGCUGUUUUGACGUUACCGACAGAAUAAGCACCGGCUAACUCUGUGCCAGCAGCCGCGGUAAUACAGAGGGUGCAAGCGUUAAUCGGAAUUACUGGGCGUAAAGCGCGCGUAGGUGGUUUGUUAAGUUGGAUGUGAAAUCCCCGGGCUCAACCUGGGAACUGCAUUCAAAACUGACUGACUAGAGUAUGGUAGAGGGUGGUGGAAUUUCCUGUGUAGCGGUGAAAUGCGUAGAUAUAGGAAGGAACACCAGUGGCGAAGGCGACCACCUGGACUAAUACUGACACUGAGGUGCGAAAGCGUGGGGAGCAAACAGGAUUAGAUACCCUGGUAGUCCACGCCGUAAACGAUGUCAACUAGCCGUUGGAAGCCUUGAGCUUUUAGUGGCGCAGCUAACGCAUUAAGUUG